rnacentral:pre_miRNA from 1 species
GUGAGAUGGAAUCAGCGUUUGGAUUGGACAUGCGAUUUUACGCUGAUUCCAUCUCAUGA